rnacentral:lncRNA from 1 species
AUUUAAUUUAUAAAUUGAUAGAAAUAAGUGAUAGAUAGGUAAAUAAUACAUGUGAAUCCUUUGAAAUGUGUUGUUGAAAAUGAAAUUUUAUUACUUAUAAAUCAUUUUAAGGCGAAUGGUGGCUAACCAACCAAUUUUCCAUUUAUGCAGAUCGAACUUGUAUAAUUGGGGCUCAUUUAUUAGAUUGUUUUGGUACCAUCUACUAUGCUCUUGUAGUGGGGAUUAAAAUUAAAUUUUUAGUAAAAUUUUUAUAGUAGUUGAUUAAAUGCAUGGUUAAAAAGUUGUGGGUUCUAUGAAAUAUAUAGUUAAAAUUAAUUGUUUACUUUGAUUUAUAUUGAAAAUUAGAUUUUAGUUCCUACCAAACAGGUUUUUAUAAAUCAUAUUGAGUGACUUUGAGUGAAAUUUUCCCACAAUUGUUUAUCAUAUUUUAGACAUCUGGAUCAUUUUUAGGCUGUAUAAAGCAAUCAGUGCUCCACUUUCUUAGCUAAAUGUAGAGCUUGUUCCACCUUUCUUAUUUGAUCUUCAGUUCUCAAAAUUCAUAUGGAAGCUAAUAGAUAGUGAACAUGUUCAUCUGUGCUGAAAAGUUACUUUAUUUUUCAGCAAGUAUUUGUUAGUAAAAGAUUCAUAUAAUCAAGUUUAACUUAUUUUUAAGUAUAAAUAUACUUAUAAUGGCAAAUCAAUUCCAAAUAAGAAACUUUUUCUAUCUUCUAAAGUUUUAAAAUUAUAUUAGUAUAUUAUUAAUUGUUUAGAUCUUAUGCAGGCAUUUUUAAGGGUUGCAAAAGAUCUUUAUGCUAUUGUGAUUGCACCCAGAGAGAGUCAAGAGAGCCGGUUUGGCCUAUACUCGUACUUCAUGUUUUAAUUAAUUCUAUCAUUACAUGUUUUACUUCAACUUUGAUGCUUGAAUUAAAGUGUUUCGAUGCUAUCUUCUUUCAUAAAUGAGUAAGAACGUGAAAUUAGUUUCACUUCCUACGUUAAUUUGCAUCAUCUUUAUGAUGCACUGGGGCUCAAGCUCCACAGUGUUGGUUAAACUUAGUUAAGCGUUUUUAAGUAUAAAACACAAAGGAAAAUUAUAUAGGAUUAUCAAAAAUAAAUGACUAAUGCCAUUAAUAACAAUAAACUAAUUUUUUAAAAACGAAGUCACGUAUUCAAUAACUUUUGACAUAAAAGAAAAAGUACUUCGAUCAUAAUUACUUAAAUCCAUUAGCCAAAAAAAUAAAUGAAUAAAUAAAUAAAUAUCCCAUCAAUUAGUUUUCACACUUGAUCUGAUUUGGGAUCAUUCCAACACAAGCCAACAAUAGAGCUUCCAGACUAACUUUUGAUGCUUGCAGCGUCAUUCCUUCCUUCCACUUAUCAAUUAUUUCCUUUAGAGUCACAUCGACAAUCAAAUUUGAAAUCGUUAUAUUCAAUCCUCUUUUUGGACGGACAUUUUCCUUAUUAUUCUCAAACUUAACCAAUCAUUCAAGACUUGCUAUCCUUUUUAUAUGUCAUCCCACUUUUUAUUGUUACUCAUUCGCAAUCUUUUACAUCAACAAACAACGGAAUUUAUCAUAUAAGAGCUCCAUGUAUUCAGCAGUCUGUGGCAAACUAAUAAAGGGACCAGUAUUCCAACUUUCGUAGUCAUUUUUGCCUCCACUCUUUCUGCUUUCUAAAUUACCCGAUAAUUGUAGAUUCACUAAAAAAAUUUCAUCAUUAGUGGAAUACAAAUCUAUAUUCAUUUGUUCAUAAUUAAACAUGUCUUACUUGUUGUUAUGUAAACAAGUUAAUCUAUUAUAAAGCACAUUAUUUCUAUACAUAUCGUAUAAUAAAUGUUUCAACAUCUUUUCUCUCUUAAACCUUAUGAUUAUUUUUAGUUCCGGUUGCUAGCUUCUUCUUCGAAGUAUUAAAUCAUUUAUUGUUCUGAUGGAUCCUUCGACAAUGUCUAUUGAUUGAGAAUCUGCUGUUCUUAAAUAUGAUACCAUUCUUCCAAGCAGAAGUGAGGCAUACAAUGCAUUCAUUCACCAACAACGAAAUCAAAGACAAAGGGAUUGGAGAAAUCGAGUCAAAGCUGGACGAAUUGAUUCUCGAGAAAGGGUAACUGACACAGUAUUAUCCGAAAAUACUAAUUUCAGUUCUGCCCAUGUGAAUGAAGCAGUAAUAUGUCAUGAUUUCGAGGCUUCUACUUCGAACCAAGAAGCGACUGAUGUUUCUAAAUGUGUAAAACUUAUGAACAUACCAAAUACUGCAUAUGUAUUACUGACAUGUACCUAUUGUAAAUAUUGUGGUGCAUGAAAAUUUCAUAGAGAAAGUAAAAGUUUUUGUUGCUCAAAUGGAAAAGUUAAACUUUGUAUGCUUGAUUCACCCGCUGAACUAUAUACUUUGUUUACUUCUAAAGAAUACAGGUGUAUGGAAUUUAAGAAAAUUUCGAGAGGGUAUAAUAAUCACUUUGCAUUCACUUCUUUUGUUGUAAAGUAUGACAAAGAACUCUUGAAAGCCAUAUAAAGGUAUUUACACAUUUAGGGUUCAAGGACAAUUAUAUCAUUAUGUAAACCAACUUAUGUUAGAG